GACGAACGCUGGCGGCGUGCUUAACACAUGCAAGUCGAACGGAAAGGCCCUGCUUUUGUGGGGUGCUCGAGUGGCGAACGGGUGAGUAACACGUGAGUAACCUGCCCUUGACUUUGGGAUAACUUCAGGAAACUGGGGCUCAUACCGGAUAGGAGCUCCUGCUGCAUGGUGGGGGUUGAAAAGUUUCGGCGGUUGGGGAUGGACUCGCGGCUUAUCAGCUUGUUGGUGGGGUAGUGGCUUACCAAGGCUUUGACGGGUAGCCGGCCUGAGAGGGUGACCGGCCACAUUGGGACUGAGAUACGGCCCAGACUCCUACGUGAGGCAGCAGUCGGGAAUAUUGCACAAUGGGCGGAAGCCUGAUGCAGCAACGCCGCGUGCGGGAUGACGGCCUUCGGGUUAUAAACCGCUUUCGCCUGUGACGAAGCGUUAGUGACGGUAAUGGGUAAAGAAGCACCGGCUAACUACGUG
rnacentral:rRNA from 1 species